CUUCUCGCCGUGCUCCACGCGCAGACCCCCGGCCCGCCCUGCAGCCCCGGGGCUGGCGGCAGCAGCUCUGCGCAGGGAUGGGCACAGCGGGCUCGGCCACCGGGGUCUCCGCUCAGGGAGAUGGGGCAGCCAGGGUGGUGCAAGGAGUGCGGGGCAGAACCACGAACAGGCAGAAGCAGGCUGGCAUGUUUUCUGGUUGUGGCACUCCAGGAAACCGUGCCAGAUGUCCGGCAGCCCGUGGGGCUCCUGGCACGGCUCUCCCAGCGUGGGGACUCACCCGGCCCUGGAGUGGCACAUUGCUUUCCCCAUGUCCUGCUGGGACAGAGGGCAGGGGGCUACUCCAGUGCAAGCCUUCCCAGCCUGGGGAGGGAUUAAAGCCCAGCUGGCAUUUCCACGGGGUUGAUGGAAGCCGGGGGUUGUCUGGCAGCAAAGAGGUGAAUCCAUGUUCACCCACACGGCGAGCACUAACUGGCAUCGAGAAACCACUUUGAGCUCUGUGAGGAGCGCAGCAAAGGGGCAGAGGAGCUGCAGGGGUGCUGGAAUCACCAUAAAUCACUAUUGUACCAGGAGUGUGGGUGCUGCUGCCAGGGUGGCAGAGCAGGGGCGGGCUCUGCUCUGUGCCAUUGGGGUUUGGAGCUCAGCAAUCUCUGCCCGUGCUCUGAGAACGGGGCACCGAUGCAAAGGGCAGGUGAGGUUUGGGGUAGAGGUUCCGUAGGGACAGAGCCACACUGGUAGUUCGGGCAUUUCAGAUUAAAUUAUUUAUUUUUUGUAAAGUAGCCAAUGCUUCCCUCUGGUGGGGAAGAAUUGCUGUGCCGGGGGAUAAAAUCCAAACCUGCAAUUGGACAUGUCACAGCACAGAGCAAACCCUUCCUGUGUGCCCCCUGCUCGGGCAGUGGCUGUGGGUGAGGGGCCGCCUGCCGUGCCACCCACAGGAAUAACGCUGCUCAGACCCUCCCUCAGCCCAUUCCUCACGCCCACCCUGUCCCCAAAUUCCUGAGGUGGGCACGCAGCAGGUUGGCAGCCCUGCCGAUCCGUGGCAGGGUCUCGAGGGGCAGUGCCUGAUUCUCCCUCGCCUGUGGAAGAUCCAGGAGCUUCUCCUUCAGCCCCCUGCCCUGCGCUCCCAGCAGGCUGGCACCAGCCAGGAUCGCUGUUUGCUCAAGGCUCAGCCCAAAGGAUCCCCAGCCCUGUCCCGGGGUCCUGGAGUGCCCCCUUCCCUCAGUGCGUCCUGUGGAGGUGGAGGAGCCGCAGAGUCACAAGUUGUGCUGGAAGAGAUGAGACACAGCAGCUGGGCUUCCAAAAACACCUGUUUAUUAAAAAAAAACACCUGUUUAUUAAAAAAA